GAAAGGUUAAGAACCACUGAGGUAAGAAUAGUUUAUUUUAAAACUGAACUUAAGGAGAAUAAUACAUUCCUUUAAGCUGAAUGCUGUGCUGACUAUACCACGGGCAAUGUAUUAAUAAUCACCUGUGUUCAGAAUGAUGGCCUUGAGACCCAAUAAAAGCUUCAAUCAUCAAAGAAAUUUAUUGUCAGGGUAUUUUACGUAACUUACACAGGACAAUGUAUCGGCCUUUUAGAAAGAUUUGAAUAUGAAAUAAAAUAAGACAAGGCUUUUGGUUUUGUUUAAGCUGGUUGGACCAUUCUCUGUGUGCUAAGAAAGAUGAACCGAGCACAGGAAAAUACUCAUUGUUUCUAGGAAUACGGGUAAGGUCCACUCAGCUGUGGAGUGGCAAAAAAUGAGGGUCUGAAAGAGAAUUGUGGCAGUGAGGUGGCUUGGAGGGAUAUUUGGCAGGGAUCUGGAAUCGACAGACUGAAUUAUCUGGCUUGGACAGCUAAAUUAAUGGUAGCAUGUUAAAGAGGUACAAAUUAAGCUUAUGCUAAGAAAAUAAUGAAUUUGGUUUGGGAUAUGUUAGGUUUAAAGGCCUGUGAAAUAGCCAGAUUCCACUGGCCUUGGGAAAGAUUUAGAAGAAAUCUGUGGCUGGAGAAACUUCUUUGGGAAUUAUUAGUGAAUGGGCAGUGGUAUGAACUGGUAAUAAGGUGGGGGUGGAGAGGGAGGAUUAGGAAUGCAAAUGACUUAGGAGCAUCUGAAAUAAAAUUGCAUUUAUUUGAAUAAAAUCUAAUUUGUGAAAUAUGAAAUCAUAUAAUACCCAAGGCUAAAUAGUGUUGGUGAUUUUAAAUAUUUAUAGACACCUGUAUUCGUACCAUAAAUCUCUGAAUAGGACUAUACAUCUCAGAUUUUAUUUUACACCUAGGGCUUUCUGGAGUUCUUCAUUUCAAGGCUCUGUUUUUCAUUCGAGAUAGUGCAUUCGCUGCCUGGGUUCAGAAGGGAGAAAGACUCUUCUUUGGCAACCAGGUUCAACUGGAAAAAAUCAUCAAGAUGUCACCUGAUGCCGCAUGUUACAACUAUGUUCUCGGCUACGUGACCCUGCCAGUUGCUGAACCAGCAGAGGUAACUCAGCGUCACGGAAAGAACACUUAAACUUGGAGUCAGAACACUUGAUUGGGAGUCUAAUUUCUGCCUCUUACUGCUGUUGUGAUCCUGGGAAAGUCAUUCAACUGCUUCCACCCUGGAUUUCCUCCUUGGCAACUGCCCUCGGGGAAUGAUCCCUCCGGCACUGGUGUCCUCGUGACUACCAGUUGGGUAGAGUGAGGAAACCCAACCACAUGCUUCAAAAUUCCCCUCCUGGAUGAACUCUUCUAGGAUGUCCUCUCCCACUCUCCUCUCUGUGACAGCCCAGUGGGCCCCACCACCCCUCUUCCCCACCUCCAUCAACACACUUCCAUGACUAUACUCACCUUACUUGAAUUAUUGUUCAUAUGUCUGCCUUUGCUGCUCAGUGGUAACUGCCUUCAGUGUAACAGAGAUUUUAGUUACCUUUUACUCCUUGUGCCUAACACACAGUAGGUGCUCCACGAAUGUUAAAUGAAUAAACUGUUACCAGGGGAGAGCAUGUGCCGACAUCUGUUCCUAUUCCAUGAAAAUUCUU
rnacentral:lncRNA from 1 species